GACGAACGCUGGCGGCGUGCUUAACACAUGCAAGUCGAACGGAAAGGCCCUGCUUUUGUGGGGUGCUCGAGUGGCGAACGGGUGAGUAACACGUGAGUAACCUGCCCUUGACUUUGGGAUAACUUCAGGAAACUGGGGCUAAUACCGGAUAGGAGCUCCUGCUGCAUGGUGGGGGUUGGAAAGUUUCGGCGGUUGGGGAUGGACUCGCGGCUUAUCCGCUUGUUGGUGGGGUAGUGGCUUACCAAGGCUUUGACGGGUAGCCGGCCUGAGAGGGUGACCGGCCACAUUGGGACUGAGAUACGGCCCAGACGCCUACGGGAGGCAGCAGUGGGGAAUAUUGCGCAAUGGGCGGAAGCCUGAUGCAGCAACGCCGCGUGCGGGAUGACGGCCUUCGGGUUGUAAACCGCUUUCGCCUGUGACGAAGCGUGAGUGACGGCAAUGGGUAAAGAAGCACCGGCUAACUACGUG
rnacentral:rRNA from 1 species